AUCUGAUUUAUAUGAUCACUGCAUCUAAAGCUGACAUUGUAAGUGGAUGUUGUUAUUUUGCCCCUCGAGACGUAACUGUGGCACUGAUGCCACUGUUGUGCCAUAAGUGGGCAAACAGAAACUGGCUUGAGUCGGGCCUGCGUGCCCUGUGCAGUGGGCUGUGGGCAUGGUAAUCAGCCAGAUAAACCACUAAAGUGUGUGCUUUCCGCUCACUACCCACCCACUGCACUGAUGUGCAGGAGGGUGUUGUGGUGCUAUUCCCAUAUGGAUUUACAAAGCAUGAAAUGAGUGAUGAAUGUAAAAUGUAGUGUUUGUAGUUGGUCUGCUAAAGUUCUGGUCAUUUGUCCAGAUUAAUUCUAAACACAAUGAAUGGAGUAUGCAGUGUGUCGUUUGGUGAUUUAAAGCUCUACAGUUUUGUAUUUAUUUUACUUUAAUUUUCAUUAGUCACAUGCAAAGGGCAUUUUAGAUGGAAGUACAAAGGAGCAGACACGUGACUGACUAUUUGGAGCCUUGAAAUGGAGAAGCUAUGUGGAGCAGGCGGUUGAAUGUACUCAGCCAGUGAAUGUACUCCGACAAAGGUCUCCACAUAUGGAGGACACACUUCCUGCUAAGGUGCAUCCUUCUCCAGCUUCCUAGUUUUCAUCUGGACGGACCUACACUGCAUGGACCAAGAUGGUCCAUUGUAGUCCUUGAGGAGGCCCCUGAUCCAGCUUUACACAGUCUGAGGACUCCACAUGUGUUCCAGAUUCAGUUUUACAAGGAGUAGUCAGACCUAAGGGCCGUGAGCAGUGCUCUGGUCCAGCAGUUAUGUAAUACAACGGUUUGUGUUGGCCACAGCUUGCUGUGAAUGUUUCUAUCCAGAGAGUAGUUGGCUGGCCUAUAUAUCUCAGUUCUGUUCUCGGUUGCCCUCUGUGCUUGGAUGAUUGUUUGAAUAAACACUGGUAAAACCUUUUGAAAUGCAAUGUUAUUCAGUCAGCACAAUCUCCUCUCCAAUGCCAGCACACAUACACAGAGACUACCUUUAUUCAGUUUGUCCAUUUUGUUGUUCCCCUUUGGUGGAACGACCUACCAAGUGCUACCAGAGCAGGGGCGUCCCUCUCUUGCUUCAAGAAGCUUUUGAAGACCCAACUCUUCUGAGAGUACCUUCUUAACACAUCUAACAACCCAAUACACUGAACAUGCACUUACCAUGUACUUUGUUUCUUCCCUCCUACCCCCAGCUCCUUUUCUUACACUUUUACUAAUACUUAAAUAUUGCACUCUCAUCCUUACUAUUUAUUGUAGUAGUAUUGUUACCAAAGUUCUCCUUUGCAAUGGAGCUUGAAUGUUGUUCCUCACUUUGUAAGUUGUUUUGUGUAAAAGCAUCAGCGAAAUAAAUGAAUGUUAUUUCACUAA